rnacentral:lncRNA from 1 species
UGUUCUUGUUCUUAUAUUAUUGUUCUUGUUCUUAUAUUAUUUCAUAACACGUUAUCAGCACGAGUCUCUAACCAAUUGAAUUUGAUCUCUUCCUUCCCCUCUUCGUCAUUCCUUCCCCUUCAAUAAACCAUCAGCCCAACAAAACAUCAAAUAAUUUUCCUCUCUUUAUAUUGGCAGAGUCUAAUUUCGCUCUCCUUCUAUUGUGCACUGAAAAAGGAUUAU